GUCCUAGCCGUAAACGAUGAGAACUAGGUGUGGGAGGUAUCGACCCCUUCCGUGCCGACGCUAACGCAUUAAGUUCUCCGCCUGGGGAGUACGGCCGCAAGGUUAAAACUCAAAGGAAUUGACGGGGGCCCGGCACAAGCGGUGGAGCAUGUGGUUUAAUUCGACGCUACGCGAAGAACCUUACCUGGGCUCGAACGACUGGUGGUACCCGUUCUGAAAGGGAUGGGGACCCGCAAGGGAGCCAGCCGAGGUGCUGCAUGGUUGUCGU
rnacentral:rRNA from 1 species